AACGAACGCUGGCGGCGUGCUUAACACAUGCAAGUCGAGCGGUAAGGCCCUUUCGGGGGUACGACGAGCGGCGAACGGGUGAGUAACACGUGGGUGACCUGCCCUCAGCUCUGGGAUAAGCCUGGGAAACCGGGUACUAAUACCGGAUAUGACUCCAUGACGCAUGUUGUGGGGUGGAAAGCCUUGUGCGGCUGAGGAUGGGCCCGCGGCCUAUCAGCUUGUUGGUGGGGUGAUGGCCUACCAAGGCGACGACGGGUAGCCGGCCUGAGAGGGCGACCGGCCACACUGGGACUGAGACACGGCCCAGACUCCUACGGGAGGCAGCAGUGGGGAAUCUUGCGCAAUGGGCGAAAGCCUGACGCAGCGACGCCGCGUGAGGGAUGACGGCCUGG
rnacentral:rRNA from 1 species